rnacentral:rRNA from 1 species
GGUUGCGAUCAUACUAGCACUACAACACCGAAUUCC